rnacentral:lncRNA from 1 species
AAUUUUCUGUUUUUCAUUGGUUUCAAGCGGUUCAGUCAAAGACUGGUUAAACCCGUAUGUCUAGACUGAUAUACCAGUAACCGGUUAGUUCUCGGUCCGGUUCAGAAAACAUCGGUUAACACAUCUUAUAUCGAACUCUUGUUUAGAAAUUGUAUCUCGAAACGAACAUUUUAGCUCUCUGGAAAAACAGAUAAGCAUAGACUAGCAAAGAGACAAAUACUGGGAAGAUUGGAAACUUGGUGAAGAAUUUUUAACAAGCUAAUACCUAAAGAAUUUUUAACAAGCUAAUACCUAAUGUAAGGCCCAAAUUUUGCCCGGGGCCAAUAAAACUAAAUUUAACUUAAACCAACUUUAGCCCAACCCAAACUAAAACAAAAAAUCCUAGGGGUGCCGCCCUACUGUCUGCCACCAUAACCUACUGCAUAGUUGGCCACCCACCCCAUUUUGCUCUACUUGCCUGUAAUGGAAAAGACAAAUAAAUUAAAAAAAGAACAAGUUGUAAAAGGUUAGAAAAACCUACAAUCUCAAUGUAAUGGAGGGGAUUUUGGAUUCUAUCUCAUUUUCGGCUAAAAAUAGAAGCCGAAAGCAAUCGUAAAAGGGGGAUCCCCAUUCUUGUACGCAAGGAUUUUUCAGAAAUAAAAAGGAGAAAAAAAAAUAAAAAAGGGUUAAUUUCCAAUCGUAUUCUCUUGGUUUUCAUUUUGUUUUUUAAUUUCUUUUUUAUUUCUUUUUUAUUUUUGUUUACAAAUCUAUUAAAUGAAAGUGGGCAUAAAAAAUAAAAAUAAAAAAGAGGAGAAGAGAGUCUUACCGAAUCCACUCCGUGGCUGCGUCGUCGGAGUCCUCCUCUCCGUUCGGCACGGUGAACGACGGCGAUGAUGGGUUUCCGAAAUCCUAACUAAAAAGGGGGAGGGGGAGAGAACUGAGAAGCUCUGUAUUCUUUUUGUUUAAAAUUGGGGCUGG